AUUGAACGCUGGCGGUAUGCCUUACACAUGCAAGUCGAACGGUAGAGGGGCAACCCUCGAGAGUGGCGAACGGGUGAGUAAUGCAUCGGAACGUGCCCAGUCGUGGGGGAUAACGCAGCGAAAGCUGUGCUAAUACCGCAUACGAUCUAUGGAUGAAAGCGGGGGACCGUAAGGCCUCGCGCGAUUGGAGCGGCCGAUGUCAGAUUAGGUAGUUGGUGGGGUAAAGGCCUACCAAGCCGACGAUCUGUAGCUGGUCUGAGAGGACGACCAGCCACACUGGGACUGAGACACGGCCCAGACUCCUACGGGAGGCAGCAGUGGGGAAUUUUGGACAAUGGGCGCAAGCCUGAUCCAGCAAUGCCGCGUGCAGGAAGAAGGCCUUCGGGUUGUAAACUGCUUUUGUACGGAACGAAACGGCCUGGGUUAAUACCCUGGGCUAAUGACGGUACCGUAAGAAUAAGCACCGGCUAACUACGUGCCAGCAGCCGCGGUAACAC
rnacentral:rRNA from 1 species